GGGGAAUUUUCCGCAAUGGGCGAAAGCCUGACGGAGCAAUACCGCGUGAGGGAUGACGGCCUAUGGGUUGUAAACCUCUUUUUUCAGGGAGGAAACAAAUGACGUGUACCUGAAGAAUAAGCAUCGGCUAACUCCGUGCCAGCAGUCGCGGUAAGACGGAGGAUGCAAGUGUUAUCCGGAAUCACUGGGCGUAAAGCGUCUGUAGGUGGUCCAAUAAGUCAACUGUUAAAUCUUGAGGCUCAACCUCAAAAUCGCAGUCGAAACUAUUAGACUUGAGUAUAGUAGGGGUAAAGGGAAUUUCCAGUGGAGCGAUGAAAUGCGUAGAGAUUGGAAAGAACACCGAUGGCGAAGGCACUUUACUGGGCUAUAACUAACACUGAGAGACGAAAGCUAGGGUAGCAAAUGGGAUUAGAUACCCCAGNUAGUC
rnacentral:rRNA from 1 species